AACGUAGGUACCGAGCGUUACCCGGAUUUACUGGGCGUAAAGCGCGUUCAGGCGGUUUGGCAAGUCGGGCAUGAAAUCUCUCGGCUCAACCGGGAGAGGUUGUCCGAUACUGCCGGACUUGAGGGCAGUAGAGGGUGGUGGAAUUCCGGGUGUAGUGGUGAAAUGCGUAGAUAUCCGGAGGAACACCAGUGGCGAAAGCGGCCACCUGGACUGCACCUGACGCUGACACGCGAAAGCUAGGGGAGCGAACGGG
rnacentral:rRNA from 1 species